rnacentral:tRNA from 4 species
GGUGGCGUGUCCGAGCGGCCGAAGGUGCAUCACUCGAAAUGAUGUGUGGGGCAACCCACCGUGGGUUCAAAUCCCACCGCCACCGCCA